rnacentral:snRNA from 1 species
CCGUGACCCGGUGAACCG